UACGUAGGGGGCCAGCGUUGUCCGAAGUUACUGGGCGUAAAGAGCGUGUAGGCGGGUCUUUAAGUGAGAGGUGAAAGGUUCAGGGCUCAACCCGAACACUGCCUUUCAUACUGGGGACCUUAAGGGCGGGAGAGGCGAGUGGAAUGGUCGGUGUAGCGGUGAAAUGCGUAGAUAUCGAUCGGAACACCCAUGGCGAAGGCAGCUCGCUGGCCCGCAUCUGACGCUGAGACGCGAAAGCGUGGGGAGCAAACAGG
rnacentral:rRNA from 1 species